UGGGGUGCCCUGGGAGAGGUUUCGGGGGGGGCGGUAGAUCAUGAGAGCUUGCUCUCUGGGUGACGAGCGGCGGACGGGUGAGUAAUGUCUGGGAAACUGCCUGAUGGAGGGGGAUAACUACUGGAAACGGUAGCUAAUACCGCAUGACGUCUUCGGACCAAAGUGGGGGACCUUCGGGCCUCACGCCAUCAGAUGUGCCCAGAUGGGAUUAGCUAGUAGGUGGGGUAAUGGCUCACCUAGGCGACGAUCUCUAGCUGGUCUGAGAGGAUGACCAGCCACACUGGAACUGAGACACGGUCCAGACUCCUACGGGAGGCAGCAGUGGGGAAUAUUGCACAAUGGGCGCAAGCCUGAUGCAGCCAUGCCGCGUGUAUGAAGAAGGCCUUCGGGUUGUAAAGUACUUUCAGCGAGGAGGAAGGCAUUAAGGUUAAUAACCUUAGUGAUUGACGUUACUCGCAGAAGAAGCACCGGCUAACUCCGUGCCAGCAGCCGCGGUAAUACGGAGGGUGCAAGCGUUAAUCGGAAUUACUGGGCGUAAAGCGCACGCGGCGGUUUGUUAAGUCAAUGUGAAAUCCCCAGCUUAACUUGGGAACUGCAUUUAAACUGGCCAGCUAGAGUCUUGUAGAGGGGGGGGUAGAAUUCCAGGUGCAGCGGCGAAAUGCUAGAGAUCUGGAGGAAUCCGGUGGCGACGGCGGCCCCCCUGGACAAAGAUGACGUCAGGUGGAAAGCGUGGGGAGCAAACAGGAUUAGAUACCUGGUAGUCCACGCUGUAAACGAUGUCGACUUGGAGGUUGUGCCCUUGAGGCGUGGCUUCCGGAGCUAACGCGUUAAGUCGACCGCCUGGGGAGUACGGCCGCAAGGUUAAAACUCAAAUGAAUUGACGGGGGCCCGCACAAGCGGUGGAGCAUGUGGUUUAAUUCGAUGCAACGCGAAGAACCUUACCUACUCUUGACAUCCAGAGAAUUUGCUAGAGAUAGCUUAGUGCCUUCGGGAACUCUGAGACAGGUGCUGCAUGGCUGUCGUCAGCUCGUGUUGUGAAAUGUUGGGUUAAGUCCCGCAACGAGCGCAACCCUUAUCCUUUGUUGCCAGCACGUAAUGUUGGGAACUCAAAGGAGACUGCCGGUGAUAAACCGGAGGAAGGUGGGGAUGACGUCAAGUCAUCAUGGCCCUUACGAGUAGGGCUACACACGUGCUACAAUGGCAUAUACAAAGAGAAGCGAACUCGCGAGAGCAAGCGGACCUCAUAAAGUAUGUCGUAGUCCGGAUUGGAGUCUGCAACUCGACUCCAUGAAGUCGGAAUCGCUAGUAAUCGUAGAUCAGAAUGCUACGGUGAAUACGUUCCCGGGCCUUGUACACACCCCCCGUCCACACCAUGGGAGCCCCUUCGAAAAGAAUUAGGUAGCUCACCCCUCGGUGACAAGGUCCCCCCCCCAUUUAG
rnacentral:rRNA from 1 species